rnacentral:rRNA from 1 species
ACAGUGGACGCGAGCAUCUUGUAGCAAUGUAUGUAACAAGCUACUAAGUGCACAUGGUGGAUGCCUUGGCAUCGAGAGCCGAUGAAGGACGUUGGAGUCUGCGAAAAGCCCCGGGGAGGUGACAACCGACCUGUGAUCCGGGGAUGUCCGAAUGGGGAAACCCACCUGGAGGAAAGUCCAGGUACCUGCGCCUGAACACAUAGGGCGUGUGGAGGGAACGCGGGGAAGUGAAACAUCUCAGUACCCGCAGGAAGAGAAAACAACCGUGAUUCCGGAAGUAGUGGCGAGCGAAACCGGAAGAGGCUAAACCCUAGUGAUGUGAUAGCCGGCAGGCGUUGUCACUGGGGGGUCGUGGGGCCGAACUGCUGAGACUGCCGUAUCAGCGAAGAGUCAUAAACCAUGAGUGAAGACGAGACCGACUGGAAAGUCGUGGCAUAGAGGGUGAUACCCCCGUAGUCGUAAGCUCAUGGCUCUUGUUCGUUACCCCGAGUAACACCGAACCCCUGAAAUUCGGUGUGAAUCUGGCGGGACCACCCGUUAAGCCUAAAUACUCCUCGAUGACCGAUAGCGGACUAGUACCGUGAGGGAAAGGUGAAAAGUACCCCGGGAGGGGAGUGAAAGAGUACCUGAAACCAUGUGCAUACAAUCCGUUGGAGCUCUUCCUUGUGAAGGGUGACAGCGUGCCUUUUGAAGAAUGAGCCUGCGAGUUAGCGUGGUGUAGCGAGGUUAAGGCGAGGGCCGUAGCCGUAGCGAAAGCGAGUCCGAACAGGGCGUUUGAGUUGCACCAUCUAGACCCGAAGCGGAGUGAUCUAUCCAUGGGCAGGUUGAAGCGCGGGUAAGACCGCGUGGAGGACCGAACCCACCUAGGUUAAAAACUGGGGGGAUGACCUGUGGAUAGGGGUGAAAGGCCAAUCAAACUCCGUGAUAGCUGGUUCUCCCCGAAAUGCAUUUAGGUGCAGCGUUGCGUGUUUCUUGUCGGAGGUAGAGCACUGGAUGGGCUAGGGGGCCUACAAGCUUACUGAACUCAGCCAAACUCCGAAUGCCGAUAAGUGAGAGCGCAGCAGUGAGACUGCGGGGGAUAAGCUCCGUAGUCGAGAGGGAAACAGCCCAGACCAUCAGCUAAGGUCCCCAAGAGAUUGCUAAGUGGAAAAGGAUGUGAAGUCGCAGAGACAACCAGGAGGUUGGCUUAGAAGCAGCCACCCUUGAAAGAGUGCGUAAUAGCUCACUGGUCAAGUGAUUUCGCGCCGACAAUGUAGCGGGGCUCAAGCAAUCCACCGAAGCUAUGGCAUUCGCGCAUGAACCAGGCCUUCGUGGUCCAGGUGCGUGGAUGGGUAGGGGAGCGUCGUGUCGCGAGUGAAGCGGCGGGGUAACCCAGUCGUGGACGCGACACGAGUGAGAAUGCAGGCAUGAGUAGCGAAUGAGGAGUGAGAAACUCCUCCACCGGAUGACCAAGGGUUCCAGGGUCAAGCUAAUCUUCCCUGGGUAAGUCGGGACCUAAGGCGAGGCCGACAGGCGUAGUCGAUGGACAACGGGCUGAUAUUCCCGUACCGGCACUGAAGCGACCCUGCUGAAUCCAGUGAUGCUAAGUGCCCGAAACCGGUUUCCAGCUCCUUCGGGAGCAUUAACCGGCAGAGCGCAUGACCCGAACUGGUACUAGGCAAGCAAUGGUGUGACGCAGGAAGGUAGCUCAACCGCGGCGAUGGUAGACCGCGGCCAAGGUCGUAGGGCGAACGGUAGGCAAAUCCGCCGUUCAUGUGCCUGAGAGCUGAUGGGGAGACGUUUUAGUCGAAGUGAGUGAUCCUAUGCUGCCGAGAAAAGCAUCUAGCGAUGUUUCAGAGCCGCCCGUACCCCAAACCGACUCAGGUGGUCAGGUAGAGAAUACUAAGGUGAUCGAGUGAAUCAUGGUUAAGGAACUCGGCAAAAUGCCCCCGUAACUUCGGGAGAAGGGGGGCCGGAUUCGUCAGUGGACUUGCUCCACGAAGCGUUGAAGGCCGCAGAGACCAGGCCCAAGCGACUGUUUACUAAAAACACAGGUCCGUGCUAAGUCGAAAGACGCCGUAUACGGACUGACUCCUGCCCGGUGCUGGAAGGUUAAGGGGACGUGUUAGCGCAAGCGAAGCACAGAACUUAAGCCCCAGUAAACGGCGGUGGUAACUAUAACCAUCCUAAGGUAGCGAAAUUCCUUGUCGGGUAAGUUCCGACCUGCACGAAUGGAGUAACGACUUGGGCGCUGUCUCAACCAUGAACUCGGCGAAAUUGCACUACGAGUAAAGAUGCUCGUUACGCGCGGCAGGACGGAAAGACCCCGGGACCUUUACUAUAGUUUGGUAUUGGUGUUUGGUUCGACUUGUGUAGGAUAGGUGGGAGACUGUGAAGCUCGGACGCCAGUUCGAGUGGAGUCAUCGUUGAAAUACCACUCUGGUCGUACUAGAUAUCUAACCUAGGUCCGUUAUCCGGAUCAGGGACAGUGCCUGAUGGGUAGUUUAACUGGGGCGGUUGCCUCCUAAAAUGUAACGGAGGCGCCCAAAGGUUCCCUCAGCCUGGUUGGCAAUCAGGUUUCGAGUGUAAGUGCACAAGGGAGCUUGACUGUGAGAGUGACAGCUCGAGCAGGGACGAAAGUCGGGACUAGUGAUCCGGCGCUGGCAUGUGGAAGCGGCGUCGCUCAACGGAUAAAAGGUACCCCGGGGAUAACAGGCUGAUCUUCCCCAAGAGUCCAUAUCGACGGGAUGGUUUGGCACCUCGAUGUCGGCUCGUCGCAUCCUGGGGCCGUAGCAGGUCCCAAGGGUUGGGCUGUUCGCCCAUUAAAGCGGCACGCGAGCUGGGUUUAGAACGUCGUGAGACAGUUCGGUCCCUAUCCGCCGCGCGCGUAGGAAACUUGAGAAAGGCUGUCCCUAGUACGAGAGGACCGGGAUGGACGAACCUCUGGUGUGCCAGUUGUUCUGCCAAGAGCACGGCUGGUUGGCUACGUUCGGAAGUGAUAACCGCUGAAAGCAUCUAAGCGGGAAGCACGUUUCAAGAUGAGGUUUCCCACUGGUUUACCAGGUAAGGCCCCCAGCAGACCACUGGGUUGAUAGGCCGGAAGUGGAAGUGCAGCAAUGCAUGGAGCUGACCGGUACUAAUAGGCCGAGGGCUUGUUUCACUACAA